UCCGGUUUGUCACCGGCAGUCCCAUUAGAGUGCCCAACUGAAUGUGGCAACUAAUGGCAAGGGUUGCGCUCGUUGCGGGACUUAACCCAACAUCUCACGACACGAGCUGACGACAGCCAUGCAGCACCUGUGUCCAGGUUCCCUUUCGGGCACCCCUCCAUCUCUGGAGGGUUCCUGGCAUGUCAAGGGUAGGUAAGGUGGGGAUGACGUACCCUUCCAUCACA
rnacentral:misc_RNA from 1 species